GGCAACAGCCCGAGUUGUAAUUUGCAGAGGAAGCUUCUGGCGACGCACUGUCUAAGUCCCCUGGAACGGGGCGCCACAGCGGGUGAGAGCCCCAUGUGAUGGCUGCGGACCCAGUGUGAAGCUCCUUCGACGAGUCCAGGAGUUUGGNAAUGCUGCUCAAAAUGGGAGGUAAAUUCCUUCUAAAGCUAAAUAUUGGCCAGAGACCGAUAGCGCACAAGUAGAGUGAUCGAAAGAUGAAAAGCACUUUGAAAAGAGGGUUAAACAGCACGUGAAAUUGUUGAAAGGGAAGCGCUCAUGACCAGACUUGCGCUGGGCUGAUCAUCCGGUGUUCUCACCGGUGCACUCUGCCCGGCUCAGGCCAGCAUCGGUUUUGGUGGGGGGAUAAAGGCGCCGGGAACGUAGCUCCUCCGGGAGUGUUAUAGCCCGGUGUGCAAUACCCCCGCUGGGACCGAGGUCCGCGCAUCGCAAGGAUGCUGGCGUAAUGGUCAUCAGCGACCCG
rnacentral:rRNA from 1 species